rnacentral:rRNA from 1 species
GUGAUUCGAGCUCUGUACCGCGUUGCCCUAAUUUCAAUCACACGUGGGUUUCUGCCCUAUGGUGGAGGAUAACCCCGGGAAACUGGGGAUAAUACUCCAUAAGUCAGGAGUACUGGAAUGUCUCCUAACUGAAAGUUGCGGCGCCAUAGGAUGAAUCUGCGGCCGAUUAGGUAGUUGUUGGGGUAACGGCCCAUCAAGCCCGUAAUCGGUACGGGUUGUGGGAGCAAGAGCCCGGAGAUGGAAUCUGAGACACGAUUCCAGGUCUACAUGGUCGUGCAGCAGGCGCGAAAACUUUACAAUGCAGGAAACUGUGAUAAGGGAACCCCGAGUGCCGCGUACACGCGGGCUGUCCCGGUGUUUAAAACACAUCGGAAGAAAGGGCCGGGCAAGACCGGUGCCAGCCGCCGCGGUAAUACCGGCGGCUCGAGUGGUGACCACUUUUAUUGGGCUUAAAGCGUUCGUAGCUUGAUUUUUAAGUCUCUUGGGAAAUCUCACGGCUUAACUGUGAGGCGUCUAAGAGAUACUGGGAAUCUAGGGACCGGGAGAGGUAGAGGUACUUCAGGGUAGAGUGAAAUUCUGUAUCCUUGAGGGACCACCGAUGCGAGCAUCUACAGACGCUCGAACGUGAGACGAGCUGGGAGCGACGGAUAGAUACCCGUAGUCCCAGCCGUAAACUAUGGCCCGGUUUAGGGUGGGCCUGUA